rnacentral:rRNA from 1 species
UACGGGGGGGGCAAGCGUUGUUCGGAAUUACUGGGCGUAAAGGGCUCGUAGGUGGCCAACUAAGUCAGACGUGAAAUCCCUCGGCUUAACCGGGGAACUGCGUCUGAUACUGGAUAGCUUGAGUUCGGGAGAGGGAUGCGGAAUUCCAGGUGUAGCGGUGAAAUGCGUAGAUAUCUGGAGGAACACCGGUGGCGAAGGCGGCAUCCUGGACCGACACUGACGCUGAGGAGCGAAAGCCAGGGGAGCAAACGGG